rnacentral:rRNA from 1 species
GACGAACGCUGGCGGCGUGCUUAACACAUGCAAGUCGAACGGAAAGGCCCUGCUUUUGUGGGGUGCUCGAGUGGCGAACGGGUGAGUAACACGUGAGUAACCUGCCCUUGACUUUGGGAUAACUUCAGGAAACUGGGGCUAAUACCGGAUAGGAGCUCCUGCUGCAUGGUGGGGGUUGGAAAGUUUCGGCGGUUGGGGAUGGACUCGCGGCUUAUCAGCGUGUUGGUGGGGUAGUGGCUUACCAAGGCUUUGACGGGUAGCCGGACUGAGAGGGUGACCGGCCACAGUGGGCCUGGGGAGCGGCCCGGACUGAUUCGGGGGGAAGCGGCGGGAAAUAUUGCAAGCUGGGCGGAGGCCUGGUGGAGCACCGCCGCGUGCGGGAUGACGGCUUUCGGGAUGUAAAACCCUUUCGCCUGUGCCGAAGCGUGAGUGCGGGUAAUGGGUAAAGAGGCACCGCCUACCUCCGU